rnacentral:misc_RNA from 1 species
UCCGGUUUGUCACCGGCGGUCUCCUUAGAGUUCCCACCAUUACGUGCUGGCAACUAAGGACAAGGGUUGCGCUCGUUGCGGGACUUAACCCAACAUCUCACGACACGAGCUGACGACAACCAUGCACCACCUGUCUCCUCUGUCCCGAAGGAAAGGCCUAUCUCUAGACCGGUCAAAGGGAUGUCAAGACCUGGUAAGUUUCUUCGCGUUGCUUCGAAUUAAACCACAUGCUCCACCGCUUGUGCAGGCCCCCGUCAAUUCCUUUGAGUUUCGGUCUUGCGACCGUACUCCCCAGGCGGAGUGUUUCACGCGUUA